UUGCAAUGAUGUAUGAAUUUCUUCACCUGAAGUACAUUGUGUAGAUUAUAACAUGAGCUUUUUAACACUGAGCAAU